CUUGUCGCCUCGUCGACAGGUCGCGCCAGGUCGCGCGGAAUCUCGCGUGUCCGUGCGCCACGACCGACGACGGGAGACGGGAGGACUAAAAAAUGGCCGUCGACGUCGUCACCGACGUCGUCUCGGGGACUUUUCACCAAGAAGACGCGCGAUCGCGUCCGGAAACGAGCCGCGAAUUCUAACCUCGCGACCGCACGCGACUCGAGGAUGACGGAGAAGGAAAAAUCGCGCGAGAGUCACCUGAAGGCAGGGAACGCGCCGUGAACGUGGCAGCACUGCGCUCCGACCGCGAGAUUCGAAUGCCACGGGACUCGCGGCAAGCGGCAGGCAGAUCCGACGGGGAAGAAGAUACAAUCCACGUGAAUCCACACAUGGGACGCACAAUCACAAUCGGGAGAUGGCGCAAAGUAUUAUCUUAAUUAAAGAUGCGACUUGAGAUAAAAAAAAUGAUGAAUUUAUA